UACGGAAGAGAGGAAGCAAUGGGGCUAUUGGAGAAGACAGGGGUGUACAUGGGGCCUGAGCGAUACACUUUGGAACAUAGACCAAUCGAUGUAUUGCGGGGAGAAGUGUACAACGCAUGUAGACCUUCUUAGAGUAAUGUUAUGAGAACGUUUUUGUAUCUACUACCUAUACAGACGCUUCGUCGAUUACGCCUACUUUAUAAUAUAAUAUAUAGAACAAGAAUAAAGUCUUAGAAAAAUCCAGUUUGUUCACCGCGGUGUAGCGCGGGUGUUGGCCUAGUUACAUACUAAAAUCAGAGUAGUCCAGUUGUUAAGCGAUGAUGAUUAAUAUGGAAACAUGUGUUCGAUUUUACAUUGAUGCGGGUUUUAUUUCCGUUACAAAAAAAACAUUCUAAAACUACAUGUCAGUUGAUAUAGAACAAAAUUUACAAAAGAACUGGAUCAGAGACAAGAUGACUGAAUAAAGAGAAGAUCAACUUCAUUAUCUGAAUCUGAUCCAGAGAUGGAUAAUCCCCUUUAUGUUCUAAUCUUUGGACAAUAAAAGUAAUAUUUAAAUGGUAAGUUAACAAAAAAAUGUUUUUGUGGGUGGAUUACAUGUCAGUUGUUAUAGAACAAAAUUUACAAAAGAACGGGCUCAUAGACAAGUAACUGAAUAAAGAGAAUAUCAACUUCAUUAUCUUAAUCUGAUCUAGAGAUGGAUAAUCGAUCCCUUAAAAGUUUUUUAUUUCCAAACAACCAAAAUAAAAAUAACCUAAAAUAGUAUAAUAAAAAAGACAACUCUAGUGGACCAAAAAAUGCUCUCUUCUCUCAGAUUUUUUAAUUUUUCUGUUCUAAUCUUUGGACAAUAAAAGUAAUAUUAAAAAUGCUAAUUUAACAACAAAAUGUGUUUGUGGGUGGAUUAGAUGGAAAAUAUAAUUAUUUUGUGUAAUCUUUUUUUUUUGUGUAAUCAUUACUGCAAAAAUACUAGAAUAGUGCAAAAGGAAAGGAAGGAGUUGAGAAGAGGGAGGGAGUUAAAGGUACUUUUCGGGCAGAGAGUAAACAAAAGCGGGGACGUUACUUAUUACGUGUUGAAGCUUCAGUAAAUCUCCAACAACGCGAUCCUCUCUUCUCUUCUCCUCAACAAGAAGAAGAAGCGAUUCAAAUGGACAGCAACAAUGGUACGAUUCAAUUCGCUCUUCUUUACUUUACCCCCCAAUCUCGACUUCCUUCGUCUGCGAUUAGAUAAAUUGUUUGAGAAACGAAUUUGGGAAGUCAAUUUUACACAAGUUUCCUUCUAAUUAACUCUUAUCUAAGAAGAAGAUUAAAUAAGUGGAAAUUAGGUUGAAAUUAGCUUUUACAGAUCAAUAAAAUUGUGUAGGGACUCAAGAGAUGAGUGUGCCUGUAGAAGGGGUUGCUGGUGGAGGCACAGCUUACGGGUUUAACGACGGCGGUCUUAAUACACAACCUCUUAAACAAUCUACGGACCCCACAGAGGUUCCUACUUCUGACUUGGUUCACGUCUGGUGUAUCCCCAAUACUCUUAACGUCGGUUCCCAAGAAACGCCUCGACCUCUAGAAACUGUAUAACCCUUCUUCUUUUCAGCUAUUUCUAGUUCACCUUUCGUGUGAAAUGACAUUUGUGAUUUGUGUUUCUACAGAUAAAUCUUUUGGCAGCUAGAAACGAGAGAGAAAGUUUUCAAAUUGCCAUGCGUCCCAAAGUUUCUUGGGCUGGUUCUACCCCUUCUGGGAGUGUUCAGGUUCAGUGCAGUGACUUAUGCUCUUCAGCUGGGGACAGGUGCGUGAGCCUUUGCUACCUUCCCUUUUCUCCGAACAGCGGCUUAAGAAACCGAACGUUUCAAUGGAUAUUUUGAGAUGGAUUCUUCACUUUGCUGUCUAUAUGAUUGUUUUCUUCCUUUCAAUGACAGAUUGGUUGUUGGCCAGUCCCUAAAGUUGCGGCGAGUGGUGCCUGUCUUAGGUGUUCCUGACGCUCUGGUGCCUCUUGAUUUGCCUCUUACUCAACUUAGCUUACUUCCAGGGUACUACCCACUCGCUAAUCUUAUUUCUUACUUAAUUCGUUAAAGACUGAUAUAAUCUCGGAUGUUCCAUAUUGUAGAGAAACAAGUGUGAUUUGGGUCUCAAUAGACGUUCCUAAUGGGCAGCCUCCUGGUCAAUAUGAAGGAGAGAUUACUGUUUCUGCAAUGAAGACGGAUGGAGGGUGAGUCUCCCUUUGUUUUUCUUUUCUUUUAUCUACUUUAGGAGGAAAAUGAUAACUUGUUUCUCAUGGAUUUGACGCGCUUAUGCCCAAAUUUUGUGGUUGGUUACAGCUGUUCUGAUAACUUGGGAAAGCAUGAGAAGGAUCAGCUAUGUGUGGAACUCAAGAACUGUCUGGAUAUUAUGGAACCGAUAGAAGGAAAACCCAUGGACGAAGUGGUAAUUUUCAGUUUGCUUCUGUUUUUGUUGAGCUCAUCCCCUUGGAUAAAUAUUUUACUUGUCAGUAAUCUGCAGCUUGUCUUUUAGGUAGAAAGAAUAAAAUGUGCAAGUUCGUCAUUAAGAAGAAUUCUAUUCUCUCCAUCAUUCGCGGAGUUCAUUUCUACAAAUGGAUCCUCUGAUAUGAUGGAAGAAGAUGUUGUGUCAAACCUUGCAGUGCGUAUUAAGCUAAGAUUGACAGUUUGGGAAUUUAUUAUUCCAGUGACUCCAUCACUCCCCGCUGUCAUCGGCGUCUCUGAUACUGUAAUCGAGGAUCGUUUUGGUGUUGAACAUGGAAGUGAAAAGUGGUACGAGAAACUGGAUCUUCAUUUCAAGUGGCUUCUUCAGUAUCGGAUCAGUCCAUACUUCUGCAAAUGGGGUGAAAAUAUGCGUGUCUUGACAUACACCUCACCAUGGCCUGGUAUUGCAAUUGUUAUGCACCAUCUAAUUAUUUUGCUUCAGAUUCUAAUAAGUUCACCAUUUGCAUUCCACUUUUUUUGGUUUCGCAGCCGAUCAUCCCAAGUCUGAUGAAUAUUUCUCUGAUCCAAGGCUUGCGGCUUAUGCAGUACCUUAUAGACAAGUUAUAGCAGGGUAUGCAUGUGCUGUCCCAGUCAAACUUCUUAUAAGUGUUGUAGGUACCCAAACUAUAACUUUUGUUGAUGUGCAAGCAGGGAUGAUUCAAGGGAAAUUUACCUGCGGAAAGAAGUUGAGAUAUUGAGGAGUAAACCCCACUGGAAUAAAGCUUACUUUUACUUGUGGGAUGAGGUAUCUUAGUUCCCACUGAUUUAUCAAUAGGCCGAUGGUGGUGUCUCUUAGCAUUUGUGUAUCUCAUGUUCCACCACAGGUGUAAUUGAUGUGUUCUUUUAGUUGAGGUUUACUUAUUGACAGCUUUCUUAUUACCAUUCCAAAAUUUGGCAGCCACUGAAUAUGGAUCACUUUCAUAACGUUCGCAAGAUGGCUAGUGAAAUUUACGCCUAUGCCCCGGAUGCCCGGGUUUUGACUACUUACUACUGUGGUAUGAUUCCCUUUUUGUUUCUUGAUUUCUCGAUUUUACAUACGUUUUCCCACAUAAUGUGUUUGUUCAACCCAUAAUGUUAGGUCAUUGUGUAGAGCUAAAUAUUAUUUACGCACUCGUCAUGUUGGUCCACUGGUCUCAUUACAGCACUUACGGUUAUUUUACAAUGGUUCAGCUACUCAGAAAUUGUAUUUAUCUAUCUGUAGGUCCGGGUGAUGCGCCUCUUGCACCAACGCCCUUUGAAUCUUUUGUCAAAGUUCCAAAUCUGCUUCGACCCCAUACUCAGAUAUACUGCACAAGGUAAUUGCGCAUGCACCAUUCUCUUAGGUGGCAGUGGUUUGAUCAUUCAGACAAAUUGCCUUCUCUUACAUGGGUUUGUGGCUUAAUUAGUUGUCAAGAUCUUAACCUCACCAAUCUAUCAUUUAAUCAAAAAGUAACCUCUUUUUUUUUGAGCAAAUACAUUUUUGAUCUUAAAAUUGCCAACCGUAUCACUCCGAUUACCUAUUUGGAUAGACAUGCAUGUGAGUUUAUUAUAUUCAUCUAUGAGUUAGGAUUUCAGAUGCGUUUUCAGGAAUAUUUAGAGAAAUCUGUUUACUACUAGUUAGUCCAUCGUUGCCUUAAUCCCGCAACACAGUCUUAAAAUAUGGUUUAAUAUUCAGUGAAUGGGUGCUUGGUAACCGGGAAGAUUUGGUGAAAGAUAUUGUGGAGGGAUUGCAGUUAGAGAAUCGUGAGGUAAGCUCUCUCUGAUCCUUUGUCUACACUAGUCUAUGUUACUCAUUUGUCUAAUCAAUAUUGCGUAACUGAAUAGAAAUCUAAUAACCAUAAUCAUCAUCAUUUUAAGUAUAGAUUUCGGUCAGUUUUUAACCAUACGCAAAACAGUUAAUUAAUUAUUAUCAUAAGCUCCCAAAAGGUGUACACAUGCAUAUGCAUACAUUCAGGCAUUAUCAUAAUCAACUAAGCCAUCUUAAUGCUACUCUUCUUGUGUGGUUUAUAUAUGAAUGUAUUUGCAAUGGGAACCAUAAAGAGGAAUUCUCAUGAUGGGUGCAGGAAUGGUGGACAUACAUAUGCCUUGGACCUACAGAUCCUCACCCAAAUUGGCACUUAGGGAUGCGUGGGACGCAGCACCGUGCAGUGAUGUGGCGUGUGUGGAAAGAAGGUGGAACGGGGUUCUUGUACUGGGGUGCAAACUGCUAUGAGAAGGCAACCGUUCCAAGCGCUGAGGUUCGUCUGACCUAUGGUACCUUUUGUAAAUGUUUCUUGAUUGAUUGCUUCAGGAAGUUAUAUGAAACAACCAAACAUAUUUAUAGGUAAGGUUUAGGCGCGGCCUUCCUCCUGGUGAUGGUGUUCUUUACUACCCGGGUGAAGUUUUCUCAUCAUCCUCAGAGCCAGUUGCUUCACUUAGGCUUGAGCGUCUUCUUAGUGGCUUACAGGUAUGGCUGCUUUAAGCUUUUAGUUACCAACCAGAAAGAAAGAAAGAAGAAUUGUGUUCAAAUUGAUGUAAUGGAACAGGAUUAUGAGUACUUGAAGCUGUACGAGUCAAAAUACGGAAGAGAGGAAGCAAUGGGGCUAUUGGAGAAGACAGGGGUGUACAUGGGGCCUGAGCGAUACACUUUGGAACAUAGACCAAUCGAUGUAUUGCGGGGAGAAGUGUACAACGCAUGUAGACCUUCUUAGAGUAAUGUUAUGAGAACGUUUUUGUAUCUACUACCUAUACAGACGCUUCGUCGAUUACGCCUACUUUAUAAUAUAAUAUAUAGAACAAGAAUAAAGUCUUAGAAAAAUCCAG
rnacentral:lncRNA from 1 species